UUUUAAUUCUUUACAUAAUGCAAAAUAUGCCCACAGAUUUAAAAUUCACUCAAAUAAGGUACAGCCUAUUUGAGACAGGAGACAGCCUACAAUAGAGGGUAAUGCUUAAACUAACGUGACCAAGUGGGCCUAAAAGCAGCCAUCUUUAGAAAAGCGUUAAAGCCUUAUCACAUCAAGCCAUUAAUUCUAACCUAACCCCAAAGCCCCUCACUUAUACUGAAUGACUCUAUAUUUUUAUAGAAGCCCUUAUGUUAGAACUAGUAACAAGAAUACCUAUUCUCCCACAAAUGUAAGUAUAAGCCAAAAUGGACCCUCCAUCGGCACUUAUCGCCAAUGAAUUAACAGUAACAACUCCUUCAAGAAAACCCUACUUCACUCAGCGUUAACCUUACACAAGAGCUUUUCUGGAAAGAUAAAAAAAGAGGA
rnacentral:rRNA from 2 species